ensembl:snoRNA
ACCCUCCCAAUGCUUACCGCAGGCAGUGCUAGUGCCACCGCUGUCUGUACAGAAAGAGGAGGAACAUCAAGCUCUCCGACUACACCACGGCCGGGCUUAUUGUGCCCAGUCUGUCUUGUUACCGGGGAGACACUG